CGCCAGACUCCUACGGGAGGCAGCAGUGGGGGAUAUUGCACAAUGGGGGGAACCCUGAUGCAGCGACGCCGCGUGGGUGAAGGAGCGUUUCGGCGCGUAAAGCCCUAUCGGCAGGGAAGAAGGAGGACGGUACCUGACUAAGAAGCCCCGGCUAACUACGUGCCAGCAGCCGCGGUAAUACGUAGGGGGCAAGCGUUAUCCGGAUUUACUGGGUGUAAAGGGAGCGUAGACGGCAGUGCAAGUCCGGAGUGAAAGCCCGGGGCUCAACCCUGGGACUGCUCUGGAAACUGUAAAGCUGGAGUGCGGGAGGGGCAGGCGGAAUUCCUGGUGUAGCGGUGAAAUGCGUAGAUAUCAGGAGGAACACCGGCGGCGAAGGCGGCCUGCUGGACUGCGACUGACGUUGAGGCCCGAAAGCGUGGGGAGCAAACAGGAUUAGAUACCCUAGUAGGA
rnacentral:rRNA from 1 species